rnacentral:rRNA from 1 species
UACGUAGGGAGCAAGCGUUGUCCGGAAUCAUUGGGCGUAAAGCGCGCGUAGGCGGCCCGAUAAGUCCGCUGUGAAAGUCAAAGGCUCAACCUUUGAAUGCCGGUGGAUACUGUCGGGCUAGAGUCCGGAAGAGGCGAGUGGAAUUCCUGGUGUAGCGGUGGAAUGCGCAGAUAUCAGGAGGAACACCAAUAGCGAAGGCAGCUCGCUGGGACGGUACUGACGCUAAGGCGCGAAAGCGUGGGGAGCGAACAGG